rnacentral:lncRNA from 1 species
UGCCCAUCUUCGUAUUAUUCUACUAAUGGACGAUGUUAUAGAUACUUCUCUACUAAACGUUCCUGGGGAGAUGCAAGAGCUCAAUGCAGGUCAAUGUACAGUGGAGACUUGCUUAGUGUCACAUCUUCUCUGAAAUAUAAUGUAUGGUAUCACACUGAACAGACUGAAGACGGAGAGUUAUGGGUUGGGGCGUAUAGCGGAUAAACAUGGUUGGACGGAACAGGAAUACCAUCGAGCUGGUAUUUAGAGGGUGAACCGAGUUCUGACAAUGAAAAUUGUGUAGAGGUAUGGGCGUCUGGAGGUAGCCGUGGAACAGGUCUGAAUGACGAAGAGUGUAAAUAUGAACAGGAGUAUGCGUGUCAGGCCGACG